UGUUUCGGCAAGGGGGUCAUCCCGACUUACCAACCCGAUGCAAACUGCGAAUACCGGAGAAUGUUAUCACGGGAGACACACGGCGGGUGCUAACGUCCGUCGUGAAGAGGGAAACAACCCAGACCGCCAGCUAAGGUCCCAAAGUCAUGGUUAAGUGGGAAACGAUGUGGGAAGGCCCAGACAGCCAGGAUGUUGGCUUAGAAGCAGCCAUCAUUUAAAGAAAGCGUAAUAGCUCACUGGUCGAGUCGGCCUGCGCGGAAGAUGUAACGGGGCUAAACCAUGCACCGAAGCUGCGGCAGCGACGCUGAUGCGUUGUUGGGUAGGGGAGCGUUCUGUAAGCCUGUGAAGGUGUGCUGUGAGGCAUGCUGGAGGUAUCAGAAGUGCGAAUGCUGACAUAAGUAACGAUAAAGCGGGUGAAAAGCCCGCUCGCCGGAAGACCAAGGGUUCCUGUCCAACGUUAAUCGGGGCAGGGUGAGUCGACCCCUAAGGCGAGGCCGAAAGGCGUAGUCGAUGGGAAACAGGUUAAUAUUCCUGUACUUGGUGUUACUGCGAAGGGGGGACGGAGAAGGCUAUGUUGGCCGGGCGACGGUUGUCCCGGUUUAAGCGUGUAGGCUGGUUUUCCAGGCAAAUCCGGAAAAUCAAGGCUGAGGCGUGAUGACGAGGCACUACGGUGCUGAAGCAACAAAUGCCCUGCUUCCAGGAAAAGCCUCUAAGCAUCAGGUAACAUCAAAUCGUACCCCAAACCGACACAGGUGGUCAGGUAGAGAAUACCAAGGCGCUUGAGAGAACUCGGGUGAAGGAACUAGGCAAAAUGGUGCCGUAACUUCGGGAGAAGGCACGCUGAUAUGUAGGUGAAGUCCCUCGCGGAUGGAGCUGAAAUCAGUCGAAGAUACCAGCUGGCUGCAACUGUUUAUUAAAAACACAGCACUGUGCAAACACGAAAGUGGACGUAUACGGUGUGACGCCUGCCCGGUGCCGGAAGGUUAAUUGAUGGGGUCAGCGCAAGCGAAGCUCUUGAUCGAAGCCCCGGUAAACGGCGGCCGUAACUAUAACGGUCCUAAGGUAGCGAAAUUCCUUGUCGGGUAAGUUCCGACCUGCACGAAUGGCGUAAUGAUGGCCAGGCUGUCUCCACCCGAGACUCAGUGAAAUUGAACUCGCUGUGAAGAUGCAGUGUACCCGCGGCAAGACGGAAAGACCCCGUGAACCUUUACUAUAGCUUGACACUGAACAUUGAGCCUUGAUGUGUAGGAUAGGUGGGAGGCUUAGAAGUGUGGACGCCAGUCUGCAUGGAGCCGACCUUGAAAUACCACCCUUUAAUGUUUGAUGUUCUAACGUUGACCCGUAAUCCGGGUUGCGGACAGUGUCUGGUGGGUAGUUUGACUGGGGCGGUCUCCUCCUAAAGAGUAACGGAGGAGCACGAAGGUUGGCUAAUCCUGGUCGGACAUCAGGAGGUUAGUGCAAUGGCAUAAGCCAGCUUGACUGCGAGCGUGACGGCGCGAGCAGGUGCGAAAGCAGGUCAUAGUGAUCCGGUGGUUCUGAAUGGAAGGGCCAUCGCUCAACGGAUAAAAGGUACUCCGGGGAUAACAGGCUGAUACCGCCCAAGAGUUCAUAUCGACGGCGGUGUUUGGCACCUCGAUGUCGGCUCAUCACAUCCUGGGGCUGAAGUAGGUCCCAAGGGUAUGGCUGUUCGCCAUUUAAAGUGGUACGCGAGCUGGGUUUAGAACGUCGUGAGACAGUUCGGUCCCUAUCUGCCGUGGGCGCUGGAGAACUGAGGGGGGCUGCUCCUAGUACGAGAGGACCGGAGUGGACGCAUCACUGGUGUUCGGGUUGUCAUGCCAAUGGCACUGCCCGGUAGCUAAAUGCGGAAGAGAUAAGUGCUGAAAGCAUCUAAGCACGAAACUUGCCCCGAGAUGAGUUCUCCCUGACUCCUUGAGA
rnacentral:rRNA from 1 species